rnacentral:rRNA from 1 species
UACAGAGGAUUCAAGCGUUGUUCGGAUUCAUUGGGCGUAAAGGGUGCGUAGGUGGUGAUGCAAGUCUGGUGUGAAAUCUCGGAGCUCAACUCCGAAAUUGCACCGGAUACUGCGUGACUCGAGGACUGUAGAGGAGAUCGGAAUUCACGGUGUAGCAGUGAAAUGCGUAGAUAUCGUGAGGAAGACCAGUUGCGAAGGCGGAUCUCUGGGCAGUUACUGACACUGAGGCACGAAGGCCAGGGGAGCAAACGGG